rnacentral:lncRNA from 1 species
UUGAAUGAGAUACUGACUUGAGCGUCGAAAGAUCCCUACUGGAGCGAUCUCCGAUCAAGACUUUUCUUACAGGUCUCACUCUCGAAAGAUCGAUCUCGACCGUCCACUCCAGCUCCUCUGAUGCCGGCCAAUAUCUUACACCAACAAUGAUCAUGAAGAGACUAACCCUCCAGGGACCCCAUUUGACCAUCUGAUGCUCCUCGUCCACAAACAAAUCGAGCAAAAAUCAAAGAUGAUGACCAAGCAGGGACUAAUCUUCUAGAAACCCCACCUGGUCAACUAUCACUCUUCAUCCACAGAC